rnacentral:rRNA from 3 species
GGUCAAGCGAACAAGUGCAUGUGGUGGAUGCCUUGGCGAUCACAGGCGAUGAAGGACGCGGUAGCCUGCGAAAAGCUACGGGGAGCUGGCAAACAAGCUUUGAUCCGUAGAUGUCCGAAUGGGGAAACCCACUCCUUUUGGAGUAUCCAUGGCUGAAUACAUAGGCCAUGCGAAGCGAACGCGGUGAACUGAAACAUCUAAGUAACCGCAGGAAAAGAAAUC